GACGCACGCUGGCGGCGUGCUUAACACAUGCAAGUCGAACGGAAAGGCCCUGCUUUUGUGGGGUGCUCGAGUGGCGAACGGGUGAGUAACACGUGAGUAACCUGCCCUUGACUUUGGGAUAACUUCAGGAAACUGGGGCUAAUACCGGAUAGGAGCUCCUGCUGCAUGGUGGGGGUUGGAAAGUUUCGGCGGUUGGGGAUGGACUCGCGGCUUAUCAGCUUGUUGGUGGGGUAGUGGCUUACCAAGGCUUUGACGGGUAGCCGGCCUGAGAGGGUGACCGGCCACAUUGGGACUGAGAUACGGCCCAGACUCCUACGGGAGGCAGCAGUGGGGAAUAUUGCACAAUGGGCGGAAGCCUGAUGCAGCAACGCCGCGUGCGGGAUGACGGCCUUCGGGCUGUAAACCGCUUUCGCCUGUGACGAAGCGUGAGUGACGGUAAUGGGUAAAGAAGCACCGGCUAACUACGUG
rnacentral:rRNA from 1 species